rnacentral:rRNA from 1 species
UACGAAGGGGGCUAGCGUUGCUCGGAAUCACUGGGCGUAAAGCGCACGUAGGCGGAUUGUUAAGUCAGGGGUGAAAUCCUGGGGCUCAACUCCAGAACUGCCUUUGAUACUGGCGAUCUUGAGUCCGGGAGAGGUGAGUGGAACUGCGAGUGUAGAGGUGAAAUUCGUAGAUAUUCGCAAGAACACCAGUGGCGAAGGCGGCUCACUGGCCCGGUACUGACGCUGAGGAGCGAAAGCGUGGGUAGCAAACAGG